GGACAUUUAGCUUGGUGGUAGAGUAUUGGACUGUUAGUUCCAAUGGUUAGGCUUCGAUCCUAAAAGUCUU
rfam:Corchorus olitorius cultivar O-4 contig17652, whole genome shotgun sequence.